rnacentral:rRNA from 1 species
UGGGGAAUUUUGGACAAUGGGCGAAAGCCUGAUCCAGCAAUGCCGCGUGUGUGAAGAAGGCCUUCGGGUUGUAAAGCACUUUUGUCCGGAAAGAAAUCCUUGGCUCUAAUACAGUCGGGGGAUGACGGUACCGGAAGAAUAAGCACCGGCUAACUACGUGCCAGCAGCCGCGGUAAUACGUAGGGUGCAAGCGUUAAUCGGAAUUACUGGGCGUAAAGCGUGCGCAGGCGGUUUGCUAAGACCGAUGUGAAAUCCCCGGGCUCAACCUGGGAACUGCAUUGGUGACUGGCAGGCUAGAGUAUGGCAGAGGGGGGUAGAAUUCCACGUGUAGCAGUGAAAUGCGUAGAGAUGUGGAGGAAUACCGAUGGCGAAGGCAGCCCCCUGGGCCAAUACUGACACUCAUGCACGAAAAGCGUGGGGAGCAAAACAGGAUUAGAUACCCUGGUAGUCCACGCCCUAAAACGAUGUCAACUAGUUGUUGGGGAUUCAUUUCCUUAGUAAACGUAGCUAACGCGUGAAGUUGACCGCCUGGGGGAGUACGGUCGCAAGAUUAAAACUCAAAUGAAUUGACGGGGUCAUAGCU